GGCUUCGAGGUGUUUUCACAUACUGGACUGCAAAUCCAGAGUAGCAGACUGACCCUCUGCCGGGGCUU